GACGAACCGUACGAACGUUAUUCGGAAUUACUGGGCUUAAAGGGUGCGUAGGCGGCGCAGUAAGUUGGGUGUGAAAUCCCUCGGCUUAACCGAGGAAUUGCGCCCAAAACUACUGUGCUCGAGGGAGGUAGAGGUGAGCGGAACUUAGGGUGGAGCGGUGAAAUGCGUUGAUAUCUGGAGGAACACCGGUGGCGAAGGCGGCAUCCUGGACCAACACUGACACUGAGGAGCGAAAGCCAGGGGAGCAAACGGG
rnacentral:rRNA from 1 species